AGCCCUGACCGUUUGUCCUUGAGCCGUAGAUGGUCAACAAUCCGCUAGCUGUCUUGCUCUGACUGGUGCACUGGACAUGAUUUCAAUAGUCAGCCAGACCAUGAUUGAGCUUAAGGGUUGUGCUGCGGAUGCAGCCUGUGCAGUUCCGGGAGAAAGUCACUGUCUCGGGCAAUGCGGUCUGGUAUCAGGUCUGGAUGAUCCUUGCCUGACUGCGGGUUUGUGUACACCUCAAUCCGACUCUGUGUCCUGAACAGCGGCAGCAGUGGUGCAGCGCUUGUGGACGAUCCAUCAACAUCCUGAAAGGUCAACACUACACCAAGCUGGGAAAAUUGAUCCUGAUAGUCAUCCCCAGGUAGUGGAAUGAAUGUUCACUGAACUACAGAGGAAUCACACCCAAAUGACUUUCCUGCCACGACAUUAGUGUGGCCACUCGCGUAGGAAUUCCUUAGCAAACAUGCUCUUUUGCAUGGUGACUGUGGACAUUUUUGCAAAACUUACGCUUUCAACACUGGAUUUUAAAGAGAAUACUUAAUAAAAUGUCGCUAACAGGACUUAUUUAUAUGAGAGAGACUAUCUGGAUGCGCAUUAAGUGUCACUUUGUGUCAUAAGCUGUUGAAGGAGCGAUUUGCGCCUUUUUAAGUGUUAAUUUUGGGUAGCCGGCUUGUAUCGGCUUGAAAGCUGAAAAUUAUGCCUCUCAUCAUAAUAGCAUUAAUUUUUGUAAUUGCAAUGUGUAUGUUUAGAUUGUAAGUGAAGCUUUUAAUAAUGAUUUUCUUAAAAAACAUGAUUUUAUAUGCU